UGGGGAAUAUUGGGCAAUGGAGGAAACUCUGACCCAGCGACGCCGCGUGAGGGGAUGAAGGCCUUCGGGUUGUAAACCUCUUUCAGUAGGGAAGAAGCGAAAGUGACGGUACCUACAGAAGAAGCACCGGCUAACUAUGUGCCAGCAGCCGCGGUAAUACAUAGGGUGCAAGCGUUGUCCGGAAUUAUUGGGCGUAAAGAGCUCGUAGGUGGUUCGAUACGUCGGAUGUGAAAAUCAGGGGCUCAACCCCUGACCUGCAUCCGAUACGGUCGAGCUAGAGUUUGGUAGGGGAGACUGGAAUUCCUGGUGUAGCGGUGGAAUGCGCAGAUAUCAGGAGGAACACCGAUGGCGAAGGCAGGUCUCUGGGCCAAUACUGACACUGAGGAGCGAAAGCGUGGGGAGCGAACAGGAUUAGAUACCCUGGUAGUCCACGCCGUAAACGGUGGGCGCUAGUUGUGCGAACCUUCCACGGUUUGUGSGACGCAGCUAACGCAUUAAGCGCCCCGCCUGGGGAGUACGAUCGCAAGAUUA
rnacentral:rRNA from 1 species